rnacentral:lncRNA from 1 species
CGGGCAUUGGUGGCACACGCCUUUAAUUCCAGCACUCGGGAGGCAGUGGCAGGCAGCUGUCUGUGAGUUCAAGGCCAGCCUGGUCUCCAGAGCAAGUGCCAGGAUAGGCUCCAAAGCUACACAGAGAAACCCUGUCUCGAAAAAACAAAAAAGAAAAAGAAAAAAGAAAAGAAAAGAAAGAAAGAAAGAAAGAAAGAAAGAAAGAAAGAAAGAGAAAAGAAAAAUCUAAAUGGAUUUUUGUUAAAGAGAAAGGAAAAAAAGAGCAACCUGCAUGUGCUGAUUGCCAGUCUCUGUUCAUGAGAAUGGACUCUUGCCCCUGAUGGCCCCAAGCUCUGGAUCUGAAUGGUAGACUUUUCAUCCUUGGAAUCAGCUGGAGUCACCGGCAACUUCAUGCCCAGCACAUGGAUUUUCUCUCCUCUCCUCCAAGCUCCAGCUGGCUGUAUUCUCCAUGUGGCUC